UACAGCCACAUCAUGUUGGAAAACCGGUUCCUGUACGAUCACCAAAGUUAAGCAAUGUCGAGCCUGGUCAGUACCUAGAUGGGUGACCGCUUGUGAAUACCAUGUGCUGUAA